rnacentral:rRNA from 1 species
CGAACGCUGGCGGCAUGCCUAACACAUGCAAGUCGCGCGGUCAGCAAUGGCAGCGGCGGACGGGUGCGUAACGCGUAGGAACGUGUCCUGAGGUGGGGGACAACCCUGGGAAACUGGGGCUAAUACCGCAUAUGGGCUGAGGCCCAAAGCCGAAAGGCGCCUUAGGAGCGGCCUGCGUCCGAUUAGCUAGUUGGUGGGGUAAAGGCCUACCAAGGCUCCGAUCGGUAGCUGGUCUGAGAGGACGAUCAGCCACACUGGGACUGAGACACGGCCCAGACUCCUACGGGAGGCAGCAGUGGGGAAUAUUGGACAAUGGGCGCAAGCCUGAUCCAGCAAUGCCGCGUGGGUGAAGAAGGUCUUCGGAUCGUAAAGCCCCUUCGACAGGGACGAUGAUGACGGUACCUGUAGAAGAAGCCCCGGCUAACUUCGUGCUAGCAG